CUUGAACGCUGGCGGCAUUCCUAACACAUGCAAGUCGAACGAGUGGCGGACGGGUGAGUAAUGUCUGGGAAACUGCCUGAUGGAGGGGGAUAACUACUGGAAACGGUAGCUAAUACCGCAUACCCUCAGAUGUGCCCAGAUGGGAUUAGCGAGUGGGUGGGUUAUAGGCUCACCAAGGCGACGAUCCCUAGCUGGUCUGAGAGGAUGACCAGCCACACUGGAACUGAGACACGGCCCAGACUCCUACGGGAGGCAGCAGUGGGGAAUUUUGGACAAUGGGGGCAAUCCGGCUGCAGCCAUGCCGCGUGUAUGAAGAAGGCCUUCGGGUGUUAAAGUCCUUUCAGCGGGGAGGCGUUACCCGCAGAAGAAGCACCGGCUAACUCCGUGCCAGCAGCCGCGGUAAUUC
rnacentral:rRNA from 1 species